rnacentral:lncRNA from 1 species
AGUCUUGAAACCUAUCUAAUUGUUAUGUAUCGUAGUUAACCUCUUUGAGCAUGUAAUCUUGUUUCUUUGGCAACCAUAUUAAGAGCCUUACCUAUUCAUUUGAAUUAAUCAUCUAUUUGAACCUUCUAGCCUCUCAUGAGCACUUGUAUUGUUUAUGAACUUGUAAAUGUUAAAGUGUGUGGUGGUCGGUUUGACUUUUGAGUGGAACUAAUUAAAUAAGGAUAAAUAUGCACUGUUUUGAAAAAGUAAGAGCCACUUGGAUUGACAAAAAAUUUAGUUGGAUUGUUGUAAAAAAAAGUUCCUUGAUAAGUGGUGACUCUUGGUGUAAGUGUGCUUAUAAAAGAAUGGC